CCUCUGGCGGCCAUGUUUUUUUCUCAAUCGACUUCAUUUUACUUGAGCAGUUGGAACUUUGGUCCCCAACAGCCACUAAGUUGGUCCCGCUCAAAUCAAACAUACUGGGCCCUAUUUCAAAGGUUGGGUAGGUGAUUCGCUUUUUUGGCCAUUUUUGCAAAAUUACUUGAAAUCCUUAUCAUAACCCGCUUACAGCCACUGAGUUAGAAGUACUGACAUGAAAAUUAAACAAGUCAAUCAUCUGUGGAACGGGCAGGGCUCGAAAAACUCCAGCCAAUCAUUUCCAUUGCCACCGAGUUGCAUUGGACAGUAAGUACGUCAAUCAAACGGUCGUACUCCCCCGCGCGCGACCCCUUCGUGCAGUACUCGUGACCCAGAGCUCGUGACCCAGAGCAAGCUCCUGUUCGUUGUUAUCCUGCGGUAGCUACUGGAACUAGUUAAAGGUUGUAUAGGUGAUUUGCUUUUUUGGCCAUUUUUGCAAAAUUACUUGAAAUCCUUAUCAUAACCCGCUUACAGCCGCUGAGUUAGAAGUACUGACAUGAAAAUUAAACAAGUCAAUCAUCUGUGGAACGGGGCAGGCUCGAAAAACUCCAGCCAAUCAUUUCCAUUGCCACCGAGUUGCAUUGGACAGUAAGUACGUCAAUCAAACGGUCGUACUGCACUCCAGGCGCGUCGUUAGCAAUUGAAAACAUCCGGGGCUUUAGCCCGGGGGGGAGCACCGUCCUGACUCCUGCUGCUACGGUAUCUUAAUUAAUUAAAUAAUUAAUUAAUUAAUUAAUGUAUCGAUUAAUUAAUUAAGGGCGCCCCCAACACAUAGGUCGCCUAUGCCGAGCGCCAGGGCAAAAAUAAGACAUUAGAAUAGCUAUAGAUAUAGCCUGCGUGCACCUACCCGAUGUCAAGAAGCCAUCGCUGCUCCGACGGACCUUUCUCCCCCAGCCAGGCAACGGCAAACAGCAUGGAGGCAGAACAGACCGCAGAAGUCAACGCGAUCGUCUUCAAUGUUGCUGCAACGAUGCAGCAUAUAUUCAGAAGAGCAGCCAGUACUUACGUGUAUGAAAGCAGCUAUAUAUAUGUAUAUAUAUACAUAUAUAUAUUUUUUUUUAUUAUUAUUUUUUUUUACGGCUGAGAUCCGGGGCUGAUCCCAAAAGAUCCGGGGCUAUAGCCCCGAAUGCCCAGGUCUAACGACGCGCCUGCUGCACUCCCCCUCCCCCGCGCCCCGCGCGCGACCCCUUCGUGCAGUACUCGUGACCCAGAGCUCGUGACCCAGAGCAAGCUCCUGUUUGUUGUUAUCCUGCGGUAGCUACUGGAACUAGUUAAUCCACAUUUGGACCU
rnacentral:lncRNA from 1 species